AUUUCUGAAGAACAGGUUUUUCUUUUUGUUUGUUAACAAAAGGAACUGUUUUUUGGAAAUAUGGUGUGUGUAUGUUGUAAUUGGGCAGCGGCCAGACAACCGUAGGGAUGGUAUCCACAGAUGAUGGGUUAUUUUUCUGUCUCAUUUUUCUACUGAUUCCAUCCCAAAUUU